CAAGUAACCAAUGGGAAAUAUCUAGGAAGUAUUUAAACACCAGCGAAUUCUGUAACAGGGCCUUUGAGCCCCUUGCUCGGGCCUGCUCCCAACCUAUGGAGUGUGCUUUCAUUUUCAGUAAAUCUCUACUUUCGUUGCUUCAUUCUUCCCUUGUUUUGUUUGUGCGUUUUGUCCAAUUCUUUGUUCAAGAUGACAAGAACCUGGACACCCUCCACCGGUACAGCUGCCUAAUGUCACGGAGAUGAGCCAGCCUAUCAGCUAAAAACAGGUUUCAACUAUCUGCAUUGGAAGAUACCUCCCAUUCAAACCAUGUUAAUAUAAUUCCUGGAGCUGCUACAGCCAUGUUGUAAUCACAAGAGGACACCUUUCUCCAACGCCCUUACCCCUGCUGAUGGCUGAGAGGAAAAUCAUGAAUGCCUAUAGCAGUAAUAUGCAAGCUAGAUAUUGAAUUUCAGAGCUAUUACUCUUAGCUCUCCCAAAGCUAUCAUAAAAUGGGAAUAUAUAAUUCUACAAAAAUUAAUAAGAGCUAAUAAUUUGUCCUCCAAAGCUAUUUUUAUUCAUUAAUAUUUAGUAAAAAAUUAUUAAUUAAGCAUAAACCUAAAAUAUAAUAGCUAGUCUCAAAGACCCUCAGGUCUGGUAGAAUGUGUAUCUUCACGAAAUUCAACAGCUAAGAAACCAAGGAUAUUGACAACCAAAUGAAGACUGCAUGUUUAAAUAUAUUUUUCUCUAAAGAUAGUAAAGAUCUACUAUUUACAUUCAUUUUAUUCAUUUCUCUGUCUUCCAUGCUGGUUUCUGAAAUUUUGUGGUCAGAAUUCUGUUUUAUUACUCUUUGUACUCAUAGAAACUCCCAAUACCUGGCACACAGUAGACAUCAAUAAAUGUAUGCUGAAUGAGGACUGAAUACAAUUCCUAGACAUGAAUUAGGAAAAAAAAUGCAAAAUACAGCUACUACACUUAUUUCAACAUUUUAAUUGGAGACAAAAAUCAAUUAUUUCCAUUUAUUAUCAAGAGCUUAUGGAAUCUGGAUAAAGUAUAAACUAUAUUACUUCUGAAUGUUUGAAAAAGCCAUGUUAGGUCGGGUAUGGUGGCUCACACCUGUAAUCCC
rnacentral:lncRNA from 1 species